UCAAAUUUGAAAUCUGGCGCCUUCGGUGUCCGAGUUGUAAUUUGAAGAAGGUAACUUUGGUUUUGGCUCUUGUCUAUGUUCCUUGGAACAGGACGUCACAGAGGGUGAGAAUCCCGUGCGAUGAGAUGCCCAAUUCCAUGUAAAGUGCUUUCGAAGAGUCGAGUUGUUUGGGAAUGCAGCUCUAAGUGGGUGGUAAAUUCCAUCUAAAGCUAAAUAUUGGCGAGAGACCGAUAGCGAACAAGUACAGUGAUGGAAAGAUGAAAAGAACUUUGAAAAGAGAGUGAAAAAGUACGUGAAAUUGUUGAAAGGGAAGGGUUUGAGAUCAGACUUGGUAUUUUGUAUGUUUUACUCUCGGGUGAGGCCUCUGCAGUUUACUGGGCCAGCAUCAGUUUGGAUGGUAGGAUAAUGACAUUGGAAUGU
rnacentral:rRNA from 2 species